AAGUCGUAACAAGGUUUCCGUAGGUGAACCUGCGGAAGGAUCAUUAACAAAUUUAAAUGGAGUUAGCUUUGAAUGAUGGAGUAGUCUUGAGAACGAGCCUCUUCAGUUCAGAGUCCUCUUGGUGCCGCAAGGUACCCGGCAAGGCUGAGUUGCAGCUGUACUGUACAGUGCAGUCAGUGACUUGGCAAGCUGGGUAUGCUUGUGAAAAGCUGUAUUUCUAGAGAUUAGUUUCUUUAGAGAUACAUAACCAACAAGUAACCCGGGGUACUUUAAGGUGAAGUGCUUUAUUGUGCUUUGUCUUAGAGCCCUUCAAUAAUCCCUACUUUUUACCAUUUUACCCCUUUAUAAACUAUAAGACUGAUAUGACAUGAAAAUGUCAAAUACAAAAACUAUAAAACAACUCUUAACAAUGGAUAUCUAGGCUCUG
rnacentral:misc_RNA from 1 species